GGGGCUCAUAUUCAGGGACUAACUCUGCCAGCUGUGUGGUGAGAGGGAGCUGCCACCGCUUGAUCUGUUCAUCUGUAAUGAGGGAGUCUUAGAAGCUUCACUCACCACAGUGAACUGUUGUAGGAGUUAAAGGGAGGCGUCUACAAAGCAUGCUGGGAACUGAAAAGGCCUUUCUGUAGAAUGAAGCAACAUUUUCAAAACUUACGAUUUAAGCCACAUUUCACUCUUGGGCAGAUGAAUUUGACUCUCUAUUUUUAAAGUUUGAAGAGACAGGAGACAUGCUGGGUGAACUUCAUCUGCAUCUCCCGCCAGAUGCUGUCUGCCACACAAACCAGCCAAAGAGGCCAUGCAGUGGGCCAAUUAAACAGCAGUCGACUGAAUAAAUGAGAAAUAAAUGACUGGCUGACAGGAGCAUGGAGGAGGAGGAGGAGGAGGAGGCAACCAGAAGAGGGAGCAGUUACAUCAACUCAUACUCCUGCUCCUGAGAAAGCCCUCGGGCUCAUAGAAGGAAUAGACCAACAGAUUCAUGUGCUGGGCGCUUGGGAUGAAGCCACAAAUCCUGUAUGUUUCUCUAUUUCAUAGAAGAAGAAGGUUUUCAAUUACAAAGAGGCUUGCUGUCAAAGCAAUAUGACCACCUAGCUGGCUGUUCAUUCUGCCAACCUGCCUUCCUUGCCGUGAUGUAAUAAAUCCUCAUGAAUUGCA
rnacentral:lncRNA from 1 species